AUGCUAACUGCUGAUGAGAAAUUUUGCUGAUGAGUUUAAUGUGAAAAGGAGCUGAGACUGACGAGGAAAACAGGAGAAACUCCUCAAAUCUCUGCAGCAUGAUGUGGUGAAACAGAGAUCUAACUGCAAACUCGAGGGGUCAACCCCUGCUGCCCAUAAGGUUUCCACACAGGAAGUGAUGUGCCUGACUACAGAUCAAAGGUCUUGGAGAUGAGCUCAGUGUGGAGUUUCCCAGAGGCUGUAACUGGAGUAUGCUCCAGGGUGAUGGAUGGGGCCAACAAACGGUAACUCCUGCUUUAACUAACCUGAAGAAAACGGAUGCCCACAGUCGAAAACGGAUAUUAAAGCACAGCUACAACGAUCUCUUUACCACUCAGCAAACACAAGUGUAUAAAAAUGUGUUAAUAACUUGUGUCAUGAUCAUUUAAAAAGCAACAAUGGGAACCACUUUAUAAAGGGAUGAAAAUUAAAUAUUCGUAUUAAAUGUUACUGCUGGAAAAAGCCUUCUAGGCUUGAUUUAAGUAAAUGUUAGUAAUUAAUAAAAAAGGACACCCGCUCUCAGUUCUAUUGGGACAUUAAUAAAAAUCUCUGGUGCUUAAUAAGAUUAGGCAAAUACAACCUCAGAUGAACGAGUUACACUGCACCAUUACUUGUUUGACAAAAUGCAGAGGCAGUGUGAGAAGAACUGAGUACACCCCAUGAUUCAAAGCCUGGAGAUCCACUUUUACUAGCAAUAACUUUAAAUGAAUGAAUGAUUUUGGACCACUGCUUGUUACUGCUGGGCACAGCAUUUCAGUCAGGUUGGGGUCUGGACUCUUCCUGGGCAACUCCAUUCUUUUUUUUUAGUCAGAACUUUAACGUUUAACAUACUAACAGAGAGUCUGAGGUGUAACCCUUGUGAUUUUUUUGCAGUUUUUCUGCACAGUCUGACUUCGGGGGGGAGGGGGGACUUGUUGGAGAAGCUUGGAAACCGAAUGAUGGAGUUCAGAUUAUUUAGAAAUGGCCUUACAACCAUCCCCAAACUGAUGGGAAGCAACAGUUGCUUCUCUAAGAUCACUGCUGAUGUCUAUCCUCCUCUCAGUGGUGUAUUAACACACACCUGAAUGCUCCAGACCAGCAAACUGACAUAGAGGUUCAUAGAGCUCCUCACAAUUAAUCGAGUUUAUUUUAUUAGCAGCGCUUGGCUGAUCCUUUCCUUUUAAUCCCUAUGGAAGCAGUAAGGGUGUACUUAGUUUUUCCUCGCGCUGCUUUGGCAUCUUAGCUUUUGUUAAGUAAUGAACCUGUGUAAUAUUUAAUGCUGUGUCAAUCAUUUUUCGGUGUAUUACCUGUGUUUUAUGACAUGGUAAGGUCAAGAUUAUUGUUAUUAUGUCCCAAAAUCUAAAACCUUAGUUCUCUGUUAUUUCCAGCUCCACAUUUUUAUUCUUGGACUCUACCCGAGUUUGUUUGCAUGACAGCUCAAAAUCAGUGAUUCCUUAUUUAUCGUAUACUGGAUCUUUGUGAAGCCCCUCGGCCUCUGUGACCAUGUUAAGUAUAUCUCCGCUCACUGUCAUCACGCAGCAGUAGUAUCUGUAUUAUUAAUAAAAUGAGUAAGGUUAACAUCCCUGUGUGUCUCAAUCGCCAAGUUUCCCCAAAAGGAGCGGAGUUACAAAAGACUGGGUGUUUCACCAGAGUCCACAAAAACCAAAGAGAAAAGCAGAAAUAGGGCACGUUCCCAGACUGGAUUACUGUAAGAAGUGAUAGUCAUGUUUUAGGCAGAAAAGGAAAAGAAAAACAAGAGCUAUUGUUUCUUGUGAGAGGCUAUGACUAAAGUGACCUCAAGGUGUCUCACAGCCAUAAACAAUAGGGUGAUUUAUGUCCUCUGGGUUUCUGUCUAAUGGGUUGGACAAACAAGUACUUCAAGGUUCUCUUGAGGCAUUGAAGAUAUUUAAAACUGCGAUAUGACAAGCCAAAAAGCAUCUUGGAGAUGUCGAAGCUGCCAAGAAUCAUUGUUUUUAUAAGUGAGAGAGCAGCUCAGGAAUGUGUGUGGGCGGCAGCUGAAUCGCAGCGCCUACAUCCCCUUUAACACACUCUAAUCUUUUAUUUCUGCCUCUCACUCUGCCUCAACAGGAAGUAAUGACACAACAAAAGUUACACACAGACAUUUUAUUUUUUUCCGACUACUGCACUACACUGAGUGGGCAGACAUGUGAUAAGGUGCGAUUUGAAAUUCAAAUGCUUAGCACGAGAGCGAAACUGACAAACAAAAGGAACUGACACAAAGAAAGCCAGGACUAGGAAAAGGGCUGUUUUCUAUUACAUUUAUGUUGAUUAAAUAUUAAACAAGCCAGCGGCUGUGACGGCCAACAGAGAGCAAUAACAGACAGAGACAAAGAAGAAUUGAUCUCCAACCACUGUACUUGAGACUUUUGGUGAUAAAAAAAAACCCUUUUAUGCUGCCGGCAGCUUCAGCUAAGCAAACAAAACAAAUCUUGCACAAACAUUUAAAACGUGGCAUUUUAGUCUCACCUCGCAACUAAAAAAGACUGCAAUUAUGGAAGUUUACAGCUUUUGUGGAGAAGUUUGAGUUCU